rnacentral:rRNA from 1 species
UUCGGGAACUCUGACACAGGUGCUGCAUGGCUGUCGUCAGCUCGUGUCGUGAGAUGGUUGGGUUAACGUCCCGUAACGAGCGCCAACCCUUGUCCUUAGUUACCAGCACGUUAUGGUGGGCACUCUAAGGAGACUGCCGGUGACAAACCGGAGGAAGGUGGGGAUGACGUCAAGUCAUCAUGGCCCUUACGGCCUGGGCUACACACGUGCUACAAUGGUCGGUACAAAGGGUUGCCAAGCCGCGAGGUGGAGCUAAUCCCAUAAAACCGAUCGUAGUCCGGAUCGCAGUCUGCAACUCGACUGCGUGAAGUCGGAAUCGCUAGUAAUCGUGAAUCAGAAUGUCACGGUGAAUACGUUCCCGGGCCUU